CCUACGGGUGGCAGCAGUAAGGGAUAUUGGUCAAUGGGGGAAACCCUGAACCAGCAACGCCGCGUGAGUGAAGAAGUAUUUCGGUAUGUAAAGCUCUGUCAGCAGGGAAGAAAAUGACGGUACCUGACCAAGAAGCCCCGGCUAACUACGUGCCAGCAGCCGCGGUAAUACGUAGGGGGCAAGCGUUAUCCGGAUUUACUGGGUGUAAAGGGAGCGUAGACGACAGGGCAAGUCUGGAGUGAAAGGCGGGGGCUCAACCCCCGGACUGCUCUGGAAACUGCCAGGCUGGAGUGCAGGAGAGGUAAGUGGAAUUCCGAGUGUAGCGGUGAAAUGCGUAGAUAUUAGGAGGAACACCAGUGGCGAAGGCGGCUUACUGGACUGUAACUGACGUUGAGGCUCGAAAGCGUGGGGAGCAAACAGGAUUAGAUACCCGAGUAGUC
rnacentral:rRNA from 1 species